rnacentral:rRNA from 1 species
AAACUCAAAGGAAUUGACGGGGGCCCGCACAAGCGGCGGAGCAUGUGGCUUAAUUCGAGGCAACGCGAAGAACCUUACCUGGGUUGAACUACGCAGGAAAAGCCGUAGAGAUACGGUGUCCGCAAGGGCCUGUGAUAGGUGGUGCAUGGCUGUCGUCAGCUCGUGUCGUGAGAUGUUGGGUUAAGUCCCGCAACGAGCGCAACCCUUGUCCUAUGUUGCCAGCGGGUAAUGCCGGGGACUCGUAGGAGACUGCCGGGGUCAACUCGGAGGAAGGUGGGGAUGACGUCAAGUCAUCAUGCCCCUUACGUCCAGGGCUGCACACAUGCUACAAUGGCCGGUACAAAGGGCUGCUAUCCCGCGAGGGUGAGCGAAUCUCAAAAAGCCGGUCUCAGUUCGGAUCGCAGUCUGCAACUCGACUGCGUGAAGUCGGAGUCGCUAGUAAUCCCGGAUCAGCAACGCCGGGGUGAAUACGUUCCCGGGCCUUGUACACACCGCCCGUCACACCGCGAAAGUCGGCAACACCCGAAGCCGGUGGCCCAACCGUAAGGAGGGAGCCGUCGAAGGUGGGGUCGGUGAUUGGGGUGAAGUCGUAACAA